GACGAACGCUGGCGGUGUGCUUAACACAUGCAAGUCGAACGGAAAGGCCCUGCUUUUGUGGGGUGCUCGAGUGGGGAACGGGUGCGUAACACGUGAGUAACCUGCCCUUGACUUUGGGGUAGCUUCAGGAAAGUGGGGCUAAUACCGGAUAGGAGCCCCUCUUCCGUGGAGGGGGGUGGAAAUUUUCGGCGGGUGGGGAUGGACGCGCGGCUUAUGAGCUUGUUGGUGGGGUAGGUGCUUACCAAGGCUGGGGACGAUAAGCGGCCUGAGAGGGGGGACGGCCACCAUGGGCCUAAGAUACGGCCCAGACGCCAACGGGGGGCAGCAGGGGGGAAUAUGGCACAAUGGGCGGAAGCCUGAUGCAGAAACGCUGGGUGCGGGAAGACGGCCUUUGGGGUGUAAAAAGCGUUAGCCUGUGACGAAGCGUGACUGACGGUAAUGGAUGAAGAAGCACCGGCUAACUACGUG
rnacentral:rRNA from 1 species